AUUGAACGCUGGCGGAAUGCUUUACACAUGCAAGUCGAGCGGCAGCACGGGGGCAACCCUGGUGGCGAGCGGCGAACGGGUGAGUAAUACAUCGGAACAUGCCCAGUCGUGGGGGAUAACACUUCGAAAGAAGUGCUAAUACCGCAUACGUCCUGAGGGAGAAAGCGGGUGAUCGCAAGACCUCGCGCGAUUGGAGUGGCCGAUGUCAGAUUGGCUAGUUGGUGGGGUAAAGGCCUACCAAGGCAACGAUCUGUAGCUGGUCUGAGAGGAUGAUCAGCCACACUGGGACUGAGACACGGCCCAGACUCCUACGGGAGGCAGCAGUGGGGAAUUUUGGACAAUGGGGGCAACCCUGAUCCAGCCAUUCCGCGUGAGUGAAGAAGGCCUUCGGGUUGUAAAGCUCUUUCGGCAGGAACGAAACGGCGAGCUCUAACAUAGCUUGCUAAUGACGGUACCUGAAGAAGAAGCACCGGCUAACUACGUG
rnacentral:rRNA from 1 species